UUUGAAAUUUCUGUUUUCUCUUUGUACUGUGUGGUGUUCAGUGAUCAGUCUGGGCUUGCGGUAUUUCAGAGAGAAGCCCUUUAUCCAAUAGUGCAGUUUCUUAACUAUUUUUGCCUAAGAGACUAUGGAUUUCUGCAGCACAGCUCCACCAUACAGUCUGUCUCAGACACUAAUCCACUUAACCGUACAUUUCCCAGUACCACACACUUUUCCUAGGGUCACAGCCAGAGACAAUCAACCCUCAACAGAAGUGACACCCUGUGUCUAUGGAAAACAUAAAUAGACUCCACCCACUAGUACCUAGAAGCAAUUUAAUCCCAGGCUGGGAGCUACCCACUACUCACUGAGACAGAAAUGGGGAUGAGCCUAGUGUGGUGUGCAGCCAUGUAUCUCUUAGGAUCAAGCCAAACAGAUGCUAAAAUUACUCAAACAUCAAGCCUGGUGUUGGAGAGAGGACAAACUGCCUAUCUCAGAUGUCAGCAAACCUAUCAACAUGACAGCAUGUUCUGGUAUCGGCAGGAUACAGGGCAGGGACUGCAGCUGCUCUUUUACUUCAACUAUAAAAAAGAAAUAGAGAAAGGUGAAAAUUUGACUCGCUUCCAGGCUGACCAGCCACAGGAUGAUCUCUUUCGCUUGAACAUCUCAUCUGUGCAGGACACACAGGUGCUAAAAUCACCCAAACAUCAAGCCUGGUACUGAACAGAGAAGAGGCAGCCAAACUGACAUGCAACCAAACUGAUAAUCACAGCUAUAUGUACUGGUAUCUGCAGCAGCAGGGGAAGGAGUUGCAGCUGAUUUAUUACUCCCUUGGUACAGACAUGACAAAAGAGGGUGACAGUAAAAUAAAAGGAUUCUCAGCCUCCCGGCCAGAGACUGCAGCUUUUGACUUGAACAUCUCCUCUGUGAAGCCGGAGCACUCAGCUGUGUAUUUCUGCGCUAGCAGUUUAGACACAGCACUUCAGA